GAUGAAGAACGCAGCGAAAUGCGAUACUUGGUGUGAAUUGCAGAAUCCCGUGAACCAUCGAGUCUUUGAACGCAAGUUGCGCCCGAAGCCUCGGCUAAGGGCACGUCUGCCUGGACGUCACGCAUCGCGUCUCCCCCAAACCGCCAAGGCGGAGGGGAAGGAAGAUGGCUUCCCGUGCCUCACCCGGCGCGGUUGGCCUAAAUUUGGAGCCCGCGGCACUUAGCUCUCGCGGCGAUAGGUGGUGAACAAGGCCUUGGCCGUGCAAACAACCCGCUGCGAAGCUCUAUGUCACGUGCGCUCGUCGGACCCUUUGAAGUUGCCUUCGGUGACUUAAAACCUUUGCGACCCCAGGUCAGGCGGGGCUACCCGCUGAAUUUAAGCAUAUCAAAAGCGGAGGA
rnacentral:misc_RNA from 1 species